rnacentral:tRNA from 1 species
GCCGGCGUGGCGGAAUAGGUAGACGCCCGGGACUUAAAAUCCCGUGGGCAGUGAUGCCCGUACCGGUUCGAUUCCGGUCGCCGGCA